AUAUUUUCAAAAAUCAAGAAAUUAAUAGUCAUGUAAUAAGAUGGUACACUAAAUUACUUAUGUAUUGCAAAAAAGGGCCAAUCAAUUCUUGUUAUUCAUAUAAAUAGAACAACUUUGUUGCAGUGAGUUUGUGAAUUCGAGUAAAAAAUCACUUAAUGAUCUACUUGAUUCCUAACCAACACUUAUUAAUGUGGUAUAAAAUUCGACACCACCUUCAGUAGGUCUUGCUUUGACUUUGUUAACAUAGUUAUUUAUAUAUAUACGUAUACACAAUAACAUACUUCAAGAAGUGGGGGAAUUGCCUCCCCUGACUCACUGCAACAACGUAUGAUCUAUUAAUUUAUCAGAAAAUUAUAUACUUUCAUGCAUGUUAUUCAAUCCAUCUUGUAUGGGAAAGGAUUUGUAUAGGCACUGCCUUUUGUC
rnacentral:lncRNA from 1 species